GAACAGAUUACUGCUGGACACCGUUCUGACCUGGCUGGACUUGUCCAACCUGUGUUUACAGGCCUCAGGUGUAGGUGCAAAAUAUGUCAAGAUGAUCUUCUUGUCCUGCAGUGAGUAUACACAUGGGUGAGGGUCCACACCAUACGUCUCCAGCUCCUGGGCCUUCUGCAGGAAGUUCAGCUCGGACUCUUCUGGAGUCUGUCCUCUGGGAGAUGAGGACACAACAGACAGAUUACUGUGGGCUGUGUGAUGAUGGAUGGAAAAGCUUCCAGCGGUAAGCUAAUGAUUUGUAAAGUGAAUUUCCUUUCAUUCAUU